UUACUGCUUUGAAAUAUAAAAAAUUAUGUGGUUUUUGGAUGGUGGCAAUCAAAAUGGAAUGGAAUGGGAGGGAGGAGACCUGUAUCAAGAGACAUGAUAUAUCCUUCAGGACAAAUAUUGUAGGUUGCAUCUAGACUUGAAAAUGCCCAUCUGAUCACAGAUCCUCGGUCCAAAUAAUCUGCUAUCAAAUAUAUAUAUAUAUAUAUAUAUAUCCAAAAUUAAAAUUGAAGUCCAUGAAGAAAAAAGGUGUUUUUAAUUCUUGCACAGUUAUUGAAGAAAUUCAUUGUCUUCAAAUUGCAUCCAAAACAUCAUGUGAUUAAAUUGUAAUGCAUCUGUUCUCUUUUCAACAGAUGAUAGUUGUGGGUGUGUGUGUUUGUGUGCAUAUAUAUAUAUAUAUAUAUAUUGGAAGAUAUCUCUGGGCUCAUUUUUAGGAAAAUUAAGAAAGAUGGAUGUCAAAGACUAAAUUGGAUCCUUGGUUUAAAUUUAUGUCUGGAGUAUGUAUUUCAGGACAAAUAUAGUCAUUAUAUAUUACACUAGUUGGUGUUACCCUUUUUUUUUUUUUUUUUUAAAUAUUAUGAUUAAAGUAAUGUAAGCUAGUUACUCAAGUUGGGUGUGAAGGAAGAAAUGAAAAAAAAAAUACAUAAAUCACUUAGCAAUUCCACCUGAAAUAACUUAUUUUAACAUUGGUAAAGUAAAUGUUGAUGCAAGGCUCUACUAAUAGACCUGUUCUAUUGUUCAGACAGAGCUUGAUGGUUUGUGCCAUUGACCAGCUUGCAUCAUUUGGAAAACACAGACGAGGUGGUUGAAAAUAACCUGUUCACAAAUAAUAACAACAACAACAACAACAACAACAACAACAGCAAAAAAUUCAUGUAAACAUAUUCUAAUUGCCCAUACAAUGCUACCUGUUCAAUAUCAAAUAUGAAAUUGGAGACACAGUCCAUGUUGGUUGCAUUGUUUAACCUAUACAACUCAUUUCAAGGUUGAAACAGUUUUCCAGACUCCAAACCUCACAACCUCUGUGCUGUUGCAAGAGCAUUAAUAACCCAAGUGUGGGUGCCUCUAUUCACAAGAAUUUUUAAAUGUGGCUACUGUCACAAUGAUGCUUCUUCACAUCCCAGCUCACAACAAAUAAAUAAACAUAUGUAUAUAUAUAUAUAUAUAUAUAUAAAUUGAUUGGCAGUAGAAAGAGAGGGUGGUACCAAUGGAGGCAUCAACCAAGGUGGGGGUAAGGAUGACAAUGCUCUUGGGCUUCACCCUCAAACUGACAGUGCUCCCCUGGGUGGAGCCUUCUGUGGCAUUGUAAAAGGCACGGGGGCUGAUAACAAAGCUUGGCUGCAUCAGGUUGACGACAUUAAGAAGCUUUGUGGUGGUCGAGGGUUGCACUCCGCUCACUGCAUUGGGUUCACAUGCAUCCAGCAACGCUUGCCUCACGUCCUUGGACCUC
rnacentral:lncRNA from 1 species